GGUCCUGUCGACAAGAGGGCUAAGUCACUACCCUUUCAAGGUAGAGUCGUUGGGUUCGAACCCCACCAGGAUCACCA
rnacentral:tRNA from 1 species